ACCUAAUAGAUACCCUGGUAGUCCACGCCCUAAACGAUGCGAACUGGACGUUGGGUGGACUUAGCCACUCAGUGUCGAAAGCUAAACGCGUUAAGUUCGCCGCCUGGGGAGUACGGUCGCAAGACUGAAACUCAAAGGAAUUGACGGGGGCCCGCACAAGCGGUGGAGUAUGUGGUUUAAUUCGAUGCAACGCGCAGAACCUUACCUGGCCUUGACAUGUCCGGAACCUUGCAGAGAUGCGAGGGUGCCUUCGGGAAUCGGAACACAGGUGCUGCAUGGCUGUCGUCAGCUCGUGUCGUGAGAUGUUGGGUUAAGUCCCGCAACGAGCGCAACCCUUGUCCCUAGUUGCCAGCACGUAAUGGUGGGAACUCUAGGGAGACUGCCGGUGACAAACCGGAGGAAGGUGGGGAUGAGGUCAAGUCAUCAUGGCCCUUACGGCCAGGGCUACACACGUACUACAAUGGGAGGUACAGAGGGCUGCCAAGCCGCAAGGCGGAGCCAAUCCCAGAAAACCUCUCUCAGUCCGGAUCGGAGUCUGC
rnacentral:rRNA from 1 species